rnacentral:rRNA from 1 species
AGAGUUUGAUCCUGGCUUAGGAUGAACGCUGGCGCGUGCCUAACACAUGGCAAGUCGAACGAAGCAUUUGAUCCGGAUCAUUUCGGUGUGAAGGAGCUUAUGACUUAGUGGCGGACGGGUGAGUAACGCGUAGGGCAACCUGCCCUUAACUGGGGGACAACAGUUGGAAACGGCUGCUAAUACCGCAUAAGCGCACGGAACCGCAUGGUUCAGUGUGAAAAAUUCCGGUGGUUAAGGAUGGGCCCGCGUUGGAUUAGGUAGUUGGUGCGGUAACGGCGCACCAAGCCGACGAUCCAUAGCCGACCUGAGAGGGUGACCGGCCACAUUGGGACUGAGACACGGCCCAGACUCCUGCGGGAGGCAGCAGUGGGGAAUAUUGCACAAUGGGGGAAACCCUGAUGCCAGCGACGCCGCGUGAGUGAAGAAGUAUUUCGGUAUGUAAAGCUCUUUCGGCAGGGAAGAAGAUGACGGUACCUGCAGAAGAAGCCCCGGCUAACUACGUGCCAGCCGCCGC